rnacentral:rRNA from 1 species
CAAGUCGAGCGAGAAUCGUAGCAAUACGAGGACAGCGGCGAAAGGGAGAGGAAUACGUAGAUAUCUGCCCCUGAGACCGGGAUAGCGUCGGGAAACUGGCAGUAAUACCGGAUAACGUCUUUGGACCAAAGGUGUGAUUCCGCUCGGGGAUGAGUCUACGCCCUAUUAGCUAGUUGGUGGGGUAAUGGCCUACCAAGGCGAUGAUGGGUAGCGGGUGUGAGAGCAUGAUCCGCCUCACUGGGACUGAGAACUGCCCAGACACCUACGGGUGGCUGCAGUCGAGAAUCUUUGUCAAUGGACGAAAGUCUGAACAAGCGACGCCGCGUGCGGGAUGAAGGCCUUCGGGUUGUAAACCGCUGUCGUAGGGGAACAAAUGUAGAGGGGUUCUCCCCUUUAUUUGAGUGAUCCUAGGAGGAAGGAGAGGCUAAGCUCGUGCCAGCAGCCGCGGUAAGACGAGCUCUCCAAACGUUAUUCGGAAUCACUGGGCUUAAAGAGUUCGUAGGCGGCUCAGCAGGUCAGGUGUGAAAUCCCACAGCUCAACUGUGGAACUGCGCUUGAAACCGCUGGGCUUGAGGGAGACAGAGGUAAGCGGAACAGAUGGUGGAGCGGUGAAAUGCGUUGAUAUCAUCUGGAACACCGGUGGCGAAAGCGGCUUACUGGGUCUCUCCUGACGCUGAGGAACGAAAGCUAGGGUAGCAAACGGGAUUAGAUACCCCGGUAGUCCUAGCCGUAAACGAUGAGCACUAGUCUGUGGGGACCCUCACAUCCUCUCGGACGUAGCGAAAGUGUUAAGUGCUCCGCCUGGGGAGUAUGGUCGCAAGGCUGAAACUCAAAGGAAUUGACGG